UGGCCGGGCGCGGUGGCUCAAGCCUGAAAUCCCAGCACUUUGGGAGGCCGAGGCGGGCUAUUGGAUCACCAGGUUAAGAGAUCGACACCCAUCCUGGCCAACAUGGUGAAACCCUGUCUUUACUAAAAAUACAAAAAU